rnacentral:tRNA from 1 species
GCUUUUUAGUUUAAAAAAAACACCAACCUUGUAAGUUGGGGAUGGUGAUCCCAGGAGCU